AUUGAACGCUGGCGGCAGGCCUAACACAUGCAAGUCGAGCGGGGUUUUCGGACCUAGCGGCGGACGGGUGAGUAAUGCGUAGGAAGCUACCCGAUAGAGGGGGAUACCAGUUGGAAACGACUGUUAAUACCGCAUAAUGUCUACGGACCAAAGUGUGGGACCUUCGGGCCACAUGCUAGCGGAUGCGCCUACGUGGGAUUAGCUAGUUGGUGGGGUAAUGGCUCACCAAGGCGACGAUCCCUAGCUGGUUUGAGAGGAUGAUCAGCCACACUGGAACUGAGACACGGUCCAGACUCCUACGGGAGGCAGCAGUGGGGAAUAUUGGACAAUGGGCGCAAGCCUGAUCCAGCCAUGCCGCGUGUGUGAAGAAGGCCUUCGGGUUGUAAAGCACUUUCAGUAGGGAGGAAGGAUGUUGUGUUAAUAGCACAGCAUUUUGACGUUACCUACAGAAGAAGCACCGGCUAACUCUGUGCCAGCCGCCGCAGUAAGAC
rnacentral:rRNA from 1 species